rnacentral:rRNA from 1 species
GAUGAACGCUGGCGGCGUGCCUAAUACAUGCAAGUCGAGCGAACGGACGCGAAGCUUGCUUUUCUGAUGUUAGCGGCGGACGGGUGAGUAACACGUGGAUAACCUACCUAUAUGACUGGGAUCACUUCGGGACACCGGCGCUAAUACCGUAUAAUAUUUUGCACCGCAUGGUUCAAAAGUGAAAGACGGUCUUGCUGUCACUUAUAGAUGCAUCCCGGCUGCAUUAGCUAGUUGGUAAGGUCACGGCUUACCAAGGCAACGAUGCCUAGCCGACCUAAGGGGGGGAUCGGCCACACUGGAACUGAGACACGGUCCAGACUCCUACGGGAGGCAGCAGUAGGGAAUCUUCCGCAGUGGGCGAAAGCAUGACGGAGCAACGCCGCGUGAGUGAUGAAGGUGUUCGGAUCGUAAAACUCUGUUAUUAGGGAAGAACAUAUGUGUAAGUAACUGUGCACAUCUUGACGGUACCUAAUCAGAAAGCCACGGCUAACUACGUG